rnacentral:misc_RNA from 1 species
GAUGAAGAACGUAGCGAAAUGCGAUAAGUAAUGUGAAUUGCAGAAUUCAGUGAAUCAUCGAAUCUUUGAACGCACAUUGCGCCCCUUGGUAUUCCGAGGGGCAUGCCUGUUCGAGCGUCAUUAUAACCCCUCAAGCUCAGCUUGGUGUUGGGGCCUGCUGCACUGGCAGCCCUUAAAAUCAGUGGCGGCGCCAUCUGGCUCUAAGCGUAGUAAUUCUUCUCGCUAUGGAGUCCUGAUGGAUGCUUGCCAUCAACCCCCAAUUUUUCUAUGGUUGACCUCGGAUCAGGUAGGGAUACCCGCUGAACUUAAGCAUAUCAAUAAGCGGAGGA